UACGAAGGGGGCUAGCGUUACUCGGAUUGACUGGGCGUAAAGGGCGCGUAGGCGGUUCGUACAGUCAGACGUGAAAUUCCUGGGCUCAACCUGGGGGCUGCGUUUGAUACGUGCGGGCUUGAGUUCGGAAGAGGGUCGUGGAACUGCGAGUGUAGAGGUGAAAUUCGUAGAUAUUCGCAAGAACACCAGUGGCGAAGGCGGCUCACUGGCCCGAUACUGACGCUGAGGCACGAAAGCGUGGGGAGCAAACAGG
rnacentral:rRNA from 1 species